UUAUAUAAAACUUUCUCAGUCAAUAAAUCCUGGUCCAUGGAAAGAGACUACUGGGUUGGAAAUUGAGGGUUUUCCAAGACAACCUUACGGGAUGGACUGUGGCAUCUUCAUGGUGAUGUAUGCCCUUUAUACAGUACUAGAUGCCUCCUUUGAUUUCACUAUUAUGGACAUGCCAGCUUUGCGAA